UACAUAUAUAUAUAUAUAUAUAUUAAAAGAAAAAGAAAAAAGAAAAGUAUUCAAAAUAAAGGUAUAAUUAGUUGAUUGAUGCUUGUUUCUUCAAUAGGUUGAUUUUUUUUUAAAUCAUUCCCAAAUGGGAAUCACCUUGGAACCUUAUAUAAAAUAAGCUCCAAAUUUUGAAAAUGGGUUGGAGAGAAUUUUUUUGAGAAGAAGAAAGAGAGGAGAAUAUCCGAAAGGAGA
rnacentral:lncRNA from 1 species